GCUGACGACCGGCGCACGGGUGCGUAACGCGUAUACAAUCUGCCUUGCACUAAGGGAUAGCCCAGAGAAAUUUGGAUUAAUAUCUUAUGGUUUAUAAUUAUGGCAUCAUAUUUAUAAUAAAGGUUACGGUGUAAGAUGAGUAUGCGUCCCAUUAGUUUGUUGGUAAGGUAACGGCUUACCAAGACUACGAUGGGUAGGGGCCCUGAGAGGGGGAUCCCCCACACUGGUACUGAGACACGGACCAGACUCCUACGGGAGGCAGCAGUGAGGAAUAUUGGACAAUGGAGGAGACUCUGAUCCAGCCAUGCCGCGUGCAGGAAGACGGUCCUAUGGAUUGUAAACUGCUUUUAUACAGGAAGAAUAAGGACUACGUGUAGUCUGGUGACGGUACUGUAAGAAUAAGGACCGGCUAACUCCGUGCCAGCAGCCGCGGUAAUACGGAGGGUCCGAGCGUUAUCCGGAAUUAUUGGGUUUAAAGGGUCCGUAGGCGGGCUGUUAAGUCAGGGGUGAAAGUUUGCAGCUCAACUGUAGAAUUGCCUUUGAUACUGACGGUCUUGAAUUAUUGUGAAGUGGUUAGAAUAUGUAGUGUAGCGGUGAAAUGCAUAGAUAUUACAUAGAAUACCGAUUGCGAAGGCAGAUCACUAACAAUUGAUUGACGCUGAUGGACGAAAGCGUGGGUAGCGAACAGGAUUAGAUACCCUGGUAGUCCACGCCGUAAACGAUGGAUACUAGCUGUUUGGAUUUCGAUCUGAGCGGCCAAGCGAAAGUGAUAAGUAUCCCACCUGGGGAGUACGUUCGCAA
rnacentral:rRNA from 1 species